CGGGGAGGUAGUGACGAAAAAUAACGAUACGGGACUCAUCCGAGGCCCCGUAAUCGGAAUGAGAACACAUUAAAUCCUUUAACGAGGACCAAUUGGAGGGCAAGUCUGGUGCCAGCAGCCGCGGUAAUUCCAGCUCCAAUAGCGUAUAUUAAAGUUGUUGCGGUUAAAAAGCUCGUAGUUGAAUCUGUGUGUCACAGUGUCGGUUCACCGCUCGCGGUGUUUAACUGGCAUUAUGUGGUACGUCCUACCGGCGGGCUUAGCUCCGAGCGGGCGGUCCAACUAAUAUCCAUCGCGGUGCUCUUUACUGAGUGUCGAGGUGGGCCGGUACGUUUACUUUGAAGAAAUUAGAGUGUUCAAAGCAGGCUCAUUUGCCUGAAUACUGUGUGCAUGGAAUAAUGGAAUAGGACCUCGGUUCUAUUUUGUUGGUUUUCGGAACCCCGAGGUAAUGAUUAAUAGGGACAGAUGGGGGCAUUCGUAUUGCGACGUUAGAGGUGAAAUUCUUGGAUCGUCGCAAGACGUACAGAAGCGAAAGCAUUUGCCAAAAAUGUUUUCAUUAAUCAAGAACGAAAGUUAGAGGUUCGAAGGCGAUCAGAUACCGCCCUAGUUCUAACCAUAAACGAUGCCAGCCAGCGAUCCGCCGAAGUUCCUCCGAUGACUCGGCGGGCAGCCUCCGGGAAACCAAAGCUUUUGGGUUCCGGGGGAAGUAUGGUUGCAAAGCUGAAACUUAAAGGAAUUGACGGAAGGGCACCACCAGGAGUGGAGCCUGCGGCUUACUUCGACUC
rnacentral:rRNA from 1 species